UAGGGAAUCUUGCGCAAUGGGCGAAAGCCUGACGCAGCCAUGCCGCGUGAAUGAUGAAGGUCUUAGGAUUGUAAAAUUCUUUCACCGGGGAAGACAAUGACGGUACCCGGAGAAGAAGCCCCGGCUAACUUCGUGCCAGCAGCCGCGGUAAUACGAAGGGGGCUAGCGUUGCUCGGAAUUACUGGGCGUAAAGGGCGCGUAGGCGGAUAUUUAAGUUGGGGGUGAAAGCCCGGGGCUCAACCUCGGAAUAGCCUUCAAUACUGGAUAUCUUGAGUUCGGGAGAGGUGAGUGGAAUGCCGAGUGUAGAGGUGAAAUUCGUAGAUAUUCGGCGGAACACCAGUGGCGAAGGCGACUCACUGGCCCGAUACUGACGCUGAGGCGCGAAAGCGUGGGGAGCAAACAGGAUUAGAUACCCUGGUAGUCCACGCCGUAAACGAUGAGUGCUAGUUGUCGGCAUGCAUGCAUGUCGGUGACGCAGCUAACGCAUUAAGCACUCCGCCUGGGGAGUACGGUCGCAAGAUUAAAACUCAAAUGAAUUGACGGGGGUCAUAGCUGUUUCCUG
rnacentral:rRNA from 1 species